rnacentral:rRNA from 1 species
GCCUGCCCUGUGACUAUAUGUUUAACGGCCGCGGUAUUUUGACCGUGCGAAGGUAGCGCAAUCACUUGUCUUUUAAAUGGAGACCUGUAUGAAUGGCACCACGAGGGCUUAGCUGUCUCCCUCUCCCAGUCAAUGAAAUUGAUCUCCCCGUGCAGAAGCGGGGAUAAAAACAUAAGACGAGAAGACCCUAUGGAGCUUAAGACGCCCGGACAGCUCACGUUAAACACUCCUGGACAAAGGAAAUAAACUGAGUGAAACCCUGCCCUAAUGUCUUUGGUUGGGGCGACCACGGGGAAAAACUUAACCCCCAUGUGGAAUAGGAAUACUAUUUUCCUAGACCUAAGAGCUCCCGCUCUAAUGAACAGAACUUCUGACCUAAUUGGAUCCGGCAAUGCCGAUCAACGGACCGAGUUACCCUAGGGAUAACAGCGCAAUCCUCUUAAAGAGUCCCUAUCGACAAGAGGGUUUACGACCUCGAUGUUGGAUCAGGAC